GAAUGUAAUUCAAAUUAUUUGAAACCGUUUUUUCGUUUCGUAAAAAUGUCUUUAUAAAUACAUUUGAUUGAUUGGAAGCGCAUUCAUCUAGGUGUAAGGGCCUGAGCGCGUAAACUGAAAGUGAGCAAAAAAAACCUUGUAAUCUGGAAUUCAGUGUAUUAGCAUAUAACUGUUUUGUCUUCUCAUGCACCCUAUAAGAAAGGUGAGGCAGACCUGUAACUCAAGACAUGGAAAACAAAGUGGGAAUGAUGAUGAUGGUAGUUUAUGCUCAGGACGACCAGUGUGCAUCAAUUCAUGCUGUUGCUUUCUCUUUUGGGAGGACAUGAGCCCUUGGACCACGCUUCAGGGUUACCUGGCCCAAAUCACUCGUAGCUGUCCCUGUCCAAAGUCUUCUGGGUUGACUACCAGAUCAAGUUGCUGGCUGAUGAUUCAUGCGCCCACUGCCCACAUCCCACCUGAUUGUCUCUGCUCUUGCCCACUUGGUUAUGCUGCUCAGUAGAAUCCUGGACACAGCCCACAUCCAUAUACUGACCUGCUUGUUUUCUGAUCAUGAAAAAACAUUGAUGGGGCUCAAAAGGUCAUAUACUUUUAUGAUCUUCACCCAGCACAGCCAGUAGAGGACUGGCCAACCCCGCAGAGUCUGGUUCCUUUCUAGGUUUCUUCCUACAUUUUGGCCCUUUUAGGGAGUUUUUCCUAGCCACUGUACAGCAACACUGUUGUUGCUUGCUUUUCGGGGUUUCAGGCUGGGUGUUUUGUAAAAGCACACUGUAACAACUGCUGAUGGAAAAAGGGCUUCAAAAAAUGAAUGUGAUUGAUUGAUGAUGAUCUCUUGAAACUCAAGUGAAAGUAGGUGUGACUGUGUUUCUUACAAGGAAUGUACAAGAUCAAGGCAGGAAGACCUCCAGGUCGAUGUUCCUAAGGAAGAUGACAACAACAGGACAAUGUGCCAAGUGUGGGGAAAGGACUGGGGAGAAACCUCAUACUUGAAUUUAGAUUUUUACAGGCAUUGGGAUAGAGGUUGGGUUAUAUCAGGUCAAAAUGGACUGGGAAAUCAAAACCUUUAACUAAAAUGGAGAAGCUAAAUUAAGAUUCAAACAAAAAUUGUGAAGGGAGGUGAACAUGCUGUUACGCAUGCAGGUACCCUGUAUGUGCAUUCGUGUUUUUCCCCUCCUUCUGCCUUAAACACAGGUGUCUCUUAUGUUCCUGAUUGUUUUCAUUGGUGUGUCCUACCUGACAGUCAUCAGUUCAUCUCUGACUGCUGAGGUGGACCAAUCAGUGGACACUCCUCCUGAUGUUCCUUUUAUCCAUUACCCAAUCACCUCACAAACCAGUCUGUUGUUUUGCCCAGAGAGACUCCUUGCUUUAUCGUACAUGCAGUUAGAUAGAUACAAACUCUUGGUGCAUAUCCUUUUGACAGACAGACACUCCUUUGUUCAUUCAUAACCCACAUAGUUUUAGCGCAUAUAGCUCAUUUUGUCCUGUUUCAUGUGAGUAUUUAUUGCUGUGGUGUUUUGUUUGCUGCUGUUUAGUAAAUUGUUUGCUGUUUAGUCCCUGUUCAACCUGUGUGUUUUGUUUGCACCUGGUAAAAGGGGAUUUUUAGCCCGUAGGAAAACGUUGUCUAAAUACACUAGUUAGAACUGAGCGGACCACCCAUUGUAUUUUUGCAUUGGUUAGUAGUGAGCUAAGCGGUUCUUGAGGCAGGCAAGUUCAGUUUAGGGGUUUUUGACUUUAUUAUUUCAUUCCUUGGGUCCAGCUCAGCCCCUUUCCCCAAACUGUUUACCAUGUGUUUAUAAUAAACUUUAUACGUUUGAUGGUAA